GAGUAAUACAUCGGAACGUGUCCUGGAGUGGGGGAUAGCCCGGCGAAAGCCGGAUUAAUACCGCAUACGCUCUGAGGAGGAAAGCGGGGGAUCUUUCGGGACCUCGCGCUGCAGGGGCGGCCGAUGGCAGAUUAGCUAGUUGGUGGGGUAAAGGCCUACCAAGGCGACGAUCUGUAGCUGGUCUGAGAGGACGACCAGCCACACUGGGACUGAGACACGGCCCAGACUCCUACGGGAGGCAGCAGUGGGGAAUUUUGGACAAUGGGCGCAAGCCUGAUCCAGCAAUGCCGCGUGUGUGAAGAAGGCCUUCGGGUUGUAAAGCACUUUUGUCCGGAAAGAAAACUUCUGGGUUAAUACCCCGGGAGGAUGACGGUACCGGAAGAAUAAGCACCGGCUAACUACGUGCCAGCAGCCGCGGUAAUACGUAGGGUGCAAGCGUUAAUCGGAAUUACUGGGCGUAAAGCGUGCGCAGGCGGUUCGCUAAGACAGAUGUGAAAUCCCCGGGCUUAACCUGGGAACUGCAUUUGUGACUGGCGGGCUAGAGUAUGGCAGAGGGGGGUAGAAUUCCACGUGUAGCAGUGAAAUGCGUAGAGAUGUGGAGGAAUACCGAUGGCGAAGGCAGCCCCCUGGGCCAAUACUGACGCUCAUGCACGAAAGCGUGGGGAGCAAACAGGAUUAGAUACCCUGGUAGUCCACGCCCUAAACGAUGUCAACUAGUUGUCGGGUCUUCAUUGACUUGGUAACGUAGCUAACGCGUGAAGUUGACCGCCUGGGGAGUACGGUCGCAAGAUUAAAACU
rnacentral:rRNA from 1 species